rnacentral:rRNA from 1 species
GAUGAACGCUGGCGGCGUGCCUAAUACAUGCAAGUCGAGCGAACGGACGAGAAGCUUGCUUCUCUGAUGUUAGCGGCGGACGGGUGCGUAACACGUGGAUAACCUACCUAUAAGACUGGGAUAACUUCGGGAAACCGGAGCUAAUACCGGAUGAUCUUUUGAACCGCAUGGUUCAAAAGUGAAAGACGGUCUUGCUGUCACUUAUAGAUGGAUCCGCGCUGCAUUAGCUAGUUGGUAAGGUAACGGCUUACCAAGGCAACGAUGCAUAGCCGACCUGAGAGGGGGUUCGGCCACACUGGAACUGGGACACGGUCCAGACUCCUACGGGAGGCAGCAGUAGGGAAUCUUCGGCAAUGGGCGAAAGCCUGACGGAGCAACGCCGCGUGAGUGAGGAAGGUCUUCGGAUCGUAAAACUCUGUUAUUAGGGAAGAACAUAUGUGUAAGUAACUGUGCACAUCUUGACGGUACCUAAUCAGAAAGGCACGGCUAACUACGUG